CAUAUAACAACAUAACCCCCCGAAACCUUUAUAAAUUCAUUGGUGAGCAGCAGUGAACGUGCCAGCAGCGUGGCAGCGUGCCCAUGUACGAUGUGGUGGCAUCGCUUUGUAAGGUAGCUGAGCUGCCUCAUCCCCUUGAAACCCCAGUAUUAAAGGUGUGGUGGAAAUGCAAAGUGUGUGUGUGUGUGUAUCUUUGUUUGGGAUGUAUCUGGUCUGCUUGAAAAUCUGUUGUGGGGUGACAGCUGCAGGAAUUAAAGAUGUGGCAGCAAAAAGAGGCCUUGGAGGUCCAGUGACACAGAUGUCAGGUAUGGCUCUUGAGCUGCGGAAAACUGCAGGGCAUUUUGUUCAGUCUGGGCCGCAGGAAUGGACGCAGUCUGCAUGGAGAUGCAGCAAGCCUCUGUCCCUGCCAGCAGCAGCGACAGGGACCCCCCUGUUCAGGCGGUGCAGGGCUCACACGUAGCGCUUGGAUGCUCUCACGCGGAUCCAACACCAGUGCCCAGCUUGGCUGGAGCAGGUGUAGUAAUUUGCAAUUAUAAUCAUGGCUUCUGCUUUUGCAAAUCGGUGUGCAAAUAGCAAGGGUAUUGUAUGCAAAGCUUUAUAACCCCUGCGUUUUCUUCUAAAACACAUUCUCCCUUUCAGGGGUGUAGGGGUGGUUCUCCCUUACUAAGGGAUUUAGUGUACUUACUGCAAUGGUAUCAGUGUCUGCUUAGAUUUUUGUCCUUCUAACAAGAUUGACCAAAGAAAAGGUAUAGGAGUGUCUUUAUUUUAGAUCUGGGCAUCAGCAGAAAAAAAGGUGAUGCAAUUUGACUCAUUUUAAUUGCCAUAGGUACAGAAGAACGACUCUCUUCACAGAUACACCUGAACAGCUCAGUACUGGCACUGAGUUCACUUGUGUGUGUUUUAAAGCCAGUAGUAGCUCUCCUUAUCUCAUAGUAGCAUCUCUGUUAUCUGUUCUCAUGAGCUUACGGUGGAUUUGUGUUAAGCCUUCCCAUUAACCUGUGACUUUGUGCAAUGCUCCCAGUUGCUGCUUCCAAUGCAAAAACAAGAACGAGACUUGGAUUAGUAAGUGUCAGGUCAGCUCCUAAAAAAUAUAGAUGAAAAACAUACUAAAAGUACUGAUAUACAUAGCGAGGUACAUCUGAACAAAAGCUAGCUCUGAUCAUGCUGAAAUUUUGGAGGAGGAUUUGACUUGCAUCCAAACAUUCCAGCAUGGACUGAUUGCUACUUGUUUGUGUAACAAGAAGGCAUUUCCUUUGCUAAAGGAUCCCGAGCUUGUUCCAAGCUCACUGUAGGCAAGGAAAACGCUGCCCAAUACCGAAAGGCUCCCACCACUUGGGGCGAGGUUUCAUAUGGUCCAAGCAUGGGCAGUGCUCAGUGUGACACGGGGUAACCUGAACACAGUGCCACUUGUCUGGGGGCGUUUGGGGAGGUCAAAUGUAAUUACUCAGUUGGAGUGUGGCCGGGAGAGUUAUGAUUAAUUCCCUCGCUCCCUCAGAAAAGCCUGUGGGAACUUCAGUGGCCUCAGCGAUAAGAUCCUCAUCGUUCAGCAUCCGUUAGCAUGGUUGAGCAGAGCAGACCUCCACCUGCUCAGCCCUGCUGCAGCAAGGGAUCUACUCGGAUCCGUGACCGACUGAGCAGUGAGCAGGGAUGGGGCUGUGUGGGGUGGGCACAAGUGCCAUCUGCAGAGCUGUCACCCGUGUCCUCCGGCACAGACGGGUUUUUGGAAGGUAACCAGGCAGGUGGGGCUGCUCUGACCUUGCUCAGGCUGUGGGCUAGCGAGAGGUUGCAGCAGUUGUAGGGACUGCCGGGAGCUGCUGCUUCUCCCCCUUUCGGUUGCUCCAAUUCAAUCACACAAAAUUAUGAAUUCUCCCUCUGCAAAAGUGGAGCAAAGUAUUCUGGCAAGGCUAACCUCGUACAAUAGCCACAAAAAUUGUUCUUGUAAAUACUUCACUAUAAGAUUAUUUUUCCUUUUGCUCUGCUUUUAAGAAACAAAACCGACAACUUUUUGAAAUAGGACUUGUUUUUUAAGACCUUAUGUGAUUGCAGAGGAUGUCGGCUUUAUUUUGUCCUUGCCUUACUGUGAGUUACCAAUAUUUUUUCUGCCUCUGAGCAGUACCUUCUUCUUGUCUGUAGUGCUUGCCUAUGUGUUACUGUGUUUGAAGGAUCUUGAGGGUGCUGCUGCAAGCUGAUCUGUUCCCUGCUGCCAAGCUGGGAUAAUGGCAGUCCUGUUUUCCCUGCAAUAUUUGCUGGUUGUCACAAAUGUCCAUGUCGAGCAUAGUCCCUCUGCUUGGUUUUACCUGUUAGAAAGUAGUCAGGUCUGCUGUGAAGGUGCCGCAAGCCAAAAGGGCACCGUGCAGUGUUACACACCUGAAACGUGGGAGGGAGGUGGUGGUAAAGUUCCCCUGGUUUGUAGCGAGGACACAUUGGGGAGAAUCCAGCAAAAACAAUGGUUUAGCUCAGUGACCCUGUUGGCUUCAGCAGGCUGACGCUUCUCAGCAAGGGGCUAUUUAAAUUUGUUGCAAUAUCGCCAGGCUUUUGAUGGAAAGAGGACGAGAGAUGGGCAGAGUUGUCUUCAAGAUCAAAAGUUCAAUAUUGGCAGGGCAGAACGAGUUUUAUUUUUAUUUUUCUCCCUUUUUCUGAAGUUAAAUAAACCUUGAUGUGCAGAAUAACCCCUGAAUAAUAAUAGUAAUAAUAAACUGAAGGACAUCCAAGGAACUGCUGGCGUUUUUAUUUUUUCAUUAAUCGCAGUGUCAUUUCUAACGUGCACCUGAUUUAUGUGUGUCUGGUUAACCAUUCAAAUGCCCUUUCUCUGACCUGAUAUACACCACAUGAAAGUUUUAUGGCAGUAAUUUAUAGAGGAUGAUUACAGCUCCGAAUGUAAAGGUUUGGAAUACCGUUCUUCUUGGGGCUGGCGGGGCUUGGUCCUGGUUGGGUGUUCUCCAGGUAUAUGGCAGAAUUGCAAAUUAAAAGGUUGAGGUUUGGGGACUUUGGGUAUCACAGAGCAGCAGAAGAAAGCUGUGUGUGGACCUGUGAGGAGGGUCAAGAAGAGGUGGGCCCUAAACCUCUCCAAGGCAGCCAACUCUGUUGGGUUACUCUUGAUCCUUUAUUCUGGAUUUGAUCUGGAGUUUGGAAGCUUGAGUGGAAUUCUGUAGAUUUUUGGAUGUUUUCCAUUAGGAGUGUUUGAGCAGAAAUGCACUGUACUUGGGAUCAGAUUAAGUGGCGUAGGUCUUUUGUCUUUUUCAAUCGCCUGUAGGCUCUAAAAGGCUCUGUCUGGAGAUUCAUCAGCAAAGCUGCAACAUCCCCUGAAUGUCCCUGUGCAAAAGCCCAACUGCACAAACACAGAUGUGGAGGGGCCGUCGUUAACAGCAUUGAAAUGGAAAUGGCAUUUCAGAAGGAGGAAGAACGCUUUAAUAUUCCUGCCCGUUUGUAUCUGAAAUUGAUGCAAAAGUAAGUGACCACAUGAAAGGAGCUGUCGAAGGAUUUCUUGUUAAAGUUCCUUUGUCCAAGAAUUUUGUCUCCUUGAAAUGGAAAUGAUUCACGGGAAUGCGCUGGUUCGAACAGAUUCCUGGAUCAGAAAAAUUGAAUCAAUAUUUUUGAAACUGUUGAAACUGUGUGUCUUGUCCUUAAAUUAAAAAAAAAAAAAAAAAAGAAAGAAAAAA